UGAGGCUUUGAAGAUCAUAAAAUAUGAGAACAAUAACACAUUUUUUACGCAUUAACUUUUUAUAAUCUAUUGAAAAAUAUUUAUUUAUCCCUCAAUUAAAAAGCAAGUCCUAUAAGAAUAAUGGAAACAUUCGACAAAUUUAUUCAUGGAUCUCCAUUGUCUAAUUUAUUUAAAAUUUUCAAUUUUAGCAUUAUUGUUUUAUUAAAAAAUGUUUAAAUUUUUUAAUUGUUUAUUAUUUUGACAAUAAGUAUCUAUUUUACAUUAUAUAUCGGUAAAACUUAUCUCUAUGCUUAUAAGCUUGUAUGCAGACUAAUCAUGAGCUCCUAAAAGAGAUUGUUUCAUGGGUUAAUAAAUGACACAAUUCACAAGCUGAUUAUAUAUGAUUCUAAAACUGAUUUAUUUAGUCCAUCGAAUGGUAACUUGAUUCGUUUUCAUCCAUCUUUAAAGUGUAGGGAGUGGGAGGUCUCAAGUUCAAAUCUCUCUAUCCACCUAAUCUAAAACUUAUUACCCCUAAGAAUACCUUUUAUAAGCAAGUUAUCUUAUGAAUUGAAAUGAAAUUAGUAUUAAAUUAAACUAAAACUUACUUUUCAAUAGUAAAAUGAAACUUGGAAAAACGCUUUUACCUUCUAACUCCAUG
rnacentral:misc_RNA from 1 species